rnacentral:tRNA from 1 species
AGGUUUUUAAUCUAAUCAAGAUAAUUGAUUUCGACUCAAUUAAUCAUGGUGCAAACCCAUGAAUACCUU